rnacentral:rRNA from 1 species
CGCAAGGUUAAAACUCAAAUGAAUUGACGGGGGCCCGCACAAGCGGUGGAGCAUGUGGUUUAAUUCGAUGCAACGCGAAGAACCUUACCUGGUCUUGACAUCCACAGAAGUUUGCAGAGAUGCGAAUGUGCCUUCGGGAACUGUGAGACAGGUGCUGCAUGGCUGUCGUCAGCUCGUGUUGUGAAAUGUUGGGUUAAGUCCCGCAACGAGCGCAACCCUUAUCCUUUGUUGCCAGCGGUCCGGCCGGGAACUCAAAGGAGACUGCCAGUGAUAAACUGGAGGAAGGUGGGGAUGACGUCAAGUCAUCAUGGCCCUUACGACCAGGGCUACACACGUGCUACAAUGGCGCAUACAAAGAGAAGCGACCUCGCGAGAGCAAGCGGACCUCAUAAAGUGCGUCGUAGUCCGGACUGGAGUCUGCAACUCGACUCCAUGAAGUCGGAAUCGCUAGUAAUCGUGGAUCAGAAUGCCACGGUGAAUACGUUCCCGGGCCUUGUACACACCGCCCGUCACACCAUGGGAGUGGGUUGCAAAAGAAGUAGGUAGCUUAACCUUCGGGAGGGCGCUUACCACUUUGUGAUUCAUGACUGGGGUGAAGUCGUAACAAGGUAACCGUAGGGGAACCUGCGGUUGGAUCACCUCCUUACCUGAAAGAA